rnacentral:sRNA from 1 species
UAACUGAUAAUAAUUAAUGCCAAUGACAUUCCUUAUAAAUAUAUUUCAAUUUGAGGAUUUAUUUACUAAAAUGACUGAAAAAAUGUAUAUGUAGAUGGUCGAGAGACAAGAACUACCUAAAUUUACGCUUAAGAGUUAGAGUUUAUGAGAUGACAAAGAAAAAACAGUUAGAGUUUAUGAUGUUUCCUUUUAAGUCUUUUCCAAGCAAUCAAUACAACAAAAUCUGAAAAAUCUGAAAAUUUGAAUGAGAAAAGAUGUAAGGACACGUUUAAGUGCGCGAUAGAUAUUACAGGACGAAUUUUAAGGAUGUAAACUUUUGAGAGUCGUUUUUAACAAAAAUGAAAGAUUGUUUUUUAGUUUUGAGAUUUAUAAACUAAAAUGCAAGGAAACAAAAGACAAAAAGUUUACGGUGAUAACCAUUGGGUCAUUACGUAAUUGAGAGAUUAAUUAUAUAUAUGAAAAUCGUAUGGGUGACACAUCAUUACACAAAAAAUGACAUGUGUCAUUUAAUAUUGAUUGAAUUAAAAAUCAGCAAUCAUUAACACAUGCAUGAAUCUCCUGCUAGCCCAUAUCAAAAGAUUUCAAAAACUUUUUCACCUCAUACAGUGAUGAGUGUAGCACAUUAUCCUCUAAUAGCAUCUCCGGCAAUGUCUCUAGAAGAUCGUUGUGACUCUUGUCAGACCAGCCAUUUUUGGUCUUCAGUGUAAACAGAGACAUAAUCGCGGACAGCUUGCUAUGGUUAAAACAGCUUGGAUAUAGAGGUGUCUCAGCAUCUGCAAGCUUUGCAAGGAACUCGUCUUCUUUCUUGUCGUCACGCUCUACAAUCUCGCCCAAGUGAACCAUACCAGCAAACUCUUCGUCCAAAUACUCUGCAGCCUGAUACAACUCAACUACUUCAUCAUUCAACUGACUGAAUUUGCUUUCACUUUCACCACCAGACACCAAUUCUCCAUGAUGAUACCAAUCACAACGCAUCUUAUAAGCCUCAUCCAUUCCUCUUCUCACAAGAUGAUCAACAACUACACAACCUAAGUGACGAUCUAUGUUACGACAAUCAAUGCAAAGAUAUACAAUCAUAUCCGCAUCUCCCAAAACCGCAGCCACAUCCCGUACAAACUUGAUAGCCCGUCUCUCAUAAGCAUGAUCAUCUCUUUGUUGCAGAAGUAGAAGGAAAAAAAAAAAAAAACUCUCCAAAACCCUUACUAAAAACUAAGGAAUAUAAUUAUAAUUAUAUUCCUUACCUGCCAAGAUGCACCCAAUCCUUAGCCACUAUUCUAUGUGCUAACCGUAAUAUAAACCUUUAGUAACCUAAGCACCAUACCAUAUGGUGUAAAGAAAAGAAUCUUCUAAAUAAACAAUCACACAAUAAGUAGACAACAUUCACAAAUAAUUCAAACUUAUAUGUCUGAUUCAAUCAAAGCAAUUCAGGUUUUAAGUACAUACUACUCGAUUAUAGUAGCAGGGUUUAAACAAAUGUAACUCAAAAGAAUCUUCAAUAUAAACAAUCACAGAAUACAACAUUUACAAAUAACUCUAUGAAAACAAUUCCGUAGUUAAGUACAAUUACUAGA